AGACCCGAAACCCGGUGAUCUAGCCAUGGGCAGGUUGAAGGUUGGGUAACACUAACUGGAGGACCGAACCGACUAAUGUUGAAAAAUUAGCGGAUGACCUGUGGCUGGGGGUGAAAGGCCAAUCAAACCGGGAGAUAGCUGGUUCUCCCCGAAAGCUAUUUAGGUAGCGCCUCGUGAAUUCAUCUCCGGGGGUAGAGCACUGUUUCGGCUAGGGGGCCAUCCCGGCUUACCAACCCGAUGCAAACUGCGAAUACCGGAGAAUGUUAUCACGGGAGACACACGGCGGGUGCUAACGUCCGUCGUGAAGAGGGAAACAACCCAGACCGCCAGCUAAGGUCCCAAAGUCAUGGUUAAGUGGGAAACGAUGUGGGAAGGCCCAGACAGCCAGGAUGUUGGCUUAGAAGCAGCCAUCAUUUAAAGAAAGCGUAAUAGCUCACUGGUCGAGUCGGCCUGCGCGGAAGAUGUAACGGGGCUAAACCAUGCACCGAAGCUGCGGCAGCGACACUCAGGUGUUGUUGGGUAGGGGAGCGUUCUGUAAGCCUGUGAAGGUGGCCUGUGAGGGUUGCUGGAGGUAUCAGAAGUGCGAAUGCUGACAUAAGUAACGAUAAAGCGGGUGAAAAGCCCGCUCGCCGGAAGACCAAGGGUUCCUGUCCAACGUUAAUCGGGGCAGGGUGAGUCGACCCCUAAGGCGAGGCCGAAAGGCGUAGUCGAUGGGAAACAGGUUAAUAUUCCUGUACUUGGUGUUACUGCGAAGGGGGGACGGAGAAGGCUAUGUUGGCCGGGCGACGGUUGUCCCGGUUUAAGCGUGUAGGCUGGUUUUCCAGGCAAAUCCGGAAAAUCAAGGCUGAGGCGUGAUGACGAGGCACUACGGUGCUGAAGCAACAAAUGCCCUGCUUCCAGGAAAAGCCUCUAAGCAUCAGGUAACAUCAAAUCGUACCCCAAACCGACACAGGUGGUCAGGUAGAGAAUACCAAGGCGCUUGAGAGAACUCGGGUGAAGGAACUAGGCAAAAUGGUGCCGUAACUUCGGGAGAAGGCACGCUGACACGUAGGUGAAGUGAUUUACUCA
rnacentral:rRNA from 1 species